GAUGAACGCUGGCGGCGUGCCUAAUACAUGCAAGUCGAGCGAACAGAUGAGGAGCUUGCUCCUCUGACGUUAGCGGCGGAAGGGUGAGUAACACGUGGAUAACCUACCUAUAAGACUGGGAUAACUUCGGGAAACCGGAGCUAAUACCGGAUAAUAUAUUGAACCGCAUGGUUCAAUAGUGAAAGACGGUUUUGCUGUCACUUAUAGAUGGAUCCGCGCCGCAUUAGCUAGUUGGUAAGGUAACGGCUUACCAAGGCAACGAUGCGUAGCCGACCUGAGAGGGUGAACGGCCACACUGGAACUGAGACACGGUCCAGACUCCUACGGGAGGCAGCAGUAGGGAAUCUUCCGCAAUGGGCGAAAGCCUGACGGAGCAACGCCGCGUGAGUGAUGAAGGUCUUCGGAUCGUAAAACGCUGUUAUUAGGGAAGAACAAAUGUGUAAGUAACUAUGCACGUCUUGACGGUACCUAAUCAGAAAGCCACGGCUAACUACGUG
rnacentral:rRNA from 1 species